AUCAGCAGGGCUCUGCUCCCUCCCGGAGCUCAACUUCCAGGACUUUCAGGAGAUUGGCUGAAUUCAGUUCCUUGGGUGGUAGGUUGAGGUCCUGUCUCCUGCUGGCUGUCAGCAGGGAGCUGCUUUAACUCCUGGAGGCCUCUCCUGGGCCCGUGUGCCUGGGUCCCGCCUCGGAGCCAGCCACAGCGCUCAGAAUCCUCGUGCUUGGAGUGUCUCCGAACGACCUUUCUGCCACUUCUCUCUUGCCUCAGCCGGAGAAAGUUCUUUGCUCUUAAGAGCUCGCCUGAGUUGGUCGUGCAGGGUAGUCUCCCUACCUAAGAUCCAUAGCCUUACAUCCGCACGGUCCCGUUCGCCAUGUGAUGUCACAUAUCUACAGAUUCCUGGGGCCUUGUGGGGACUGUUCUGUCUCCUACAAUGGCCUUUCGAGGGGCGUUCAGAGCACUCUGUUGCUUGCAGCGGAGGAGGCGUGGACUCCAGAUGCCAGCACUGAUCACCUGCGCUCUGGGAGGCGGUGGUUUCGGUCCCUCGGAUGUGCUACUGAACCCCAGGAACCAAGAGCAGAGCCCAACACUGGGAAGAAUGAAUGAAAGAAGGAAAAGGAGCUUAUGUGUCAGCAGACCUGCAGCUUCUCAGGUGCAGGUGAAUAAACGGCGUGUCGGGGGGCGCCUGGGUGGCUCAGUCGGUUGAGUGUCCGACUUCAGCUCAGGUCACGAUCUCACGAUCCGGGAGUUCGAGCCCCGCGUCGGGCUCUGGGCUGAUGGCUCAGAGCCUGGAGCCUGCUUCCGAUUCUGUGUCUCCCUCUCUCUCUGCCCCUCCCCCGUUCAUGCUCUGUCUCUCUCUGUCUCAAAAAUAAAUAAACGUUAAAAAAAAAAAAUAAAUAAACGGCGUGUCGGGACGGACGGCCGCCAAGGGGACCAGCUGUGCCCUCCCCCGCCCCUGCCCCGGGCACUCGUGCUCACCCCCGAACCCAGCUGCUACUCCGUAUCGCCAUCACCCUGACUCAGUCCAGGAUAGCAGGCACUUACCAGUCACUGAACAGAUAAAACGAUAACCUAUAAACAUGAUAUUCAAAGAG